CAAAGGGCAGCGAAACCGUGAGGUCAAGCAAAUCCCAUAAAGUUGUUCUCAGUUCGGAUUGUAGUCUGCAACUCGACUACAUGAAGCUGGAAUCGCUAGUAAUCGUAGAUCAGCAUGCUACGGUGAAUACGUUCCCGGGUCUUGUACACACCGCCCGUCACACCACGAGAGUUUGUAACACCCGAAGCCGGUGGAGUAACCUUUUAGGAGCUAGCCGUCGAAGGUGGGACAAAUGAUUGGGGUGAAGUCGUAACAAGGUAGCCGUAUCGGAAGGUGCGGCUGGAUCACCUCCUUUCUAAGGA
rnacentral:rRNA from 1 species